AGUUUCAUCCGUCAAUGUCUUCGUCUUAAAAACGCUUUUAUUUUUAUUUUCAGUAAUCGUUGAAUCGACCGUUCGACGAUUGGCGAUCGUCAAAUGGCAAAGUUAAUCCGAAGGCAAUUUAGUUAUAAAUUACAAAAAUGACAUCCUAUAGAAAGAGAAUUUUGGAACAAGAAGCAGCUAAGGCUGAUUCUUCAGAUGAGGAUGAUUAUGUCCCUUAUAUUCCCAUAAAACAAAG
rnacentral:misc_RNA from 1 species